AAACUUCACAAUACCCGGCAUACCAUCAGCUAAACAGUGUACCGUCGACAUCAUUUCCCUGUCAUUGAAUAAGAAUAGCGUCUAUUGUGUUAUGCCUCAUUCUUCAAAGCCUCGCGUCAUAUGUAAAUGAUGUGGACGGUUAAUCUAAAGUUGCUCCCGAAACAACACUGCAGCAGCAAUAAAACCGGCAUACCAAAAACUAAACCGUGAGACUUGCCAGGUAAGUGAGACGCAUAUUUCAUAGACGUUGAUGUGCAAAGUAUGGGAAGUACUGUAUUUUCUGACGUAUCUGGUCGUUCUAAAGUGAGGACAUGCGUAUGAAGAAGUUUGAGAGGAAAAAAAUUCACGAGGUUCGAAACUACUGUCUGACGUUAAGAAAGAAGAAGUGAAGAAAUGACAAACAUCACAAGGUUUUUUCUCCUCCUACUCCUUGGGUUCCAUCUGGAUGAAGUAUCAACUGAGGAUCUUGGGACCUUUAUUUCAUGUCUUCAGAACGGGACGAUGAGAAUGGUGGUUGACUUAACCAAAAACCCCGAUCUAAUAGGGGAAAAAAUGCAUCUGAACGAUCCCAACUGCACAGUGAAAGAUCUCAACGAAACCUUUGCUGCGUUCGAAAUACCAUUAGAUGGCUGUGGAACACACCAAGAUGACUCAAACCCAGACUAUUUGCUGUUCUCGAAUACGGUACAUUGGAACCCAGCGGUUUCAGAGGAAGACCUUCAAACUCGUACAAAAGGGUUUAGAGCUCAAAUCAGCUGCCGAUAUCCUAGACAUGGCAAAGUUUCGGCGCUUAUCAAAUUUAAGAUAAAAAGGGGUAAUAUUGUAAUUUUAGAAUAUUUGUUAUUGAUCUAAGUCUUAGAAACGAAACAGCUUACAUCGACAUUUUCGCAACCUCGUUCCCAGGGCUUUUCCCUUUUUGAAUAUUUUGGGCGGUCCCGCCCGCCAAAAUAUUAAAAAAGGGAAAAGCCCUGGGAACGAGGUUGACAGUUUCGGUUCUGGUUUCGAAGGCGUGAGACGACAAGGAUAACUGCUACCCCAUCCCCAACCCCUUGGCCAGAUGCCAAUGAAUCAUAAGCACCCCUCUCGCCCUUUCCUAUAAUUUGUUACCGAGUUCAGCCGAUCCUGAUGGGGAAACUGGGUAGAGGGAAAGUCAAAGAUCGAGUAUUUCGAUGCAGAAGAGAAGCUUAUGAGCGAGCGCUAGUUUACGGAUGCGAUCGAGUGUUUCAAUAAUUUUAACAUCAAGAUAGACAAUACUCAAAUUCAACUUUUCCACAUAUUAAAAAUUAUAUAUUUCCUUGACUCAGAACGGCGCGGCCAUUAGCUAAGCUUUGGGUUCUGGAACGAAGACAGAUACGAUCCAGUACCGAGAUUACACUUCCACCUUUCGUUUGUGGGAGUAUGGGCAGGAGACGCAACAUGUUUUACGCUGAACCAAAUUAAAACAUGUGAAUACCAGACAAUUUACUUUCGUUUUCCAGCAUUUUACUGACGCAAGUGAAACGAAAGUAACUUCAAUUAAACAGAUAGUCCAUUAUUGACAAGUUUUAAGUAAAACUGCAAAACUGUACUAUUGAAAGUUUUCAAAAAGUCUUCGAGCUUUUAAGUUCGCAUUGAUAAACUUAAAAAGCUUACAAGAAACUAUAGUGCGCCCGCAUGUUUCUGGUGCCCCUGGCAAGCAAUCGGACAUGCGUACAAACUACAACUCUUAAACUUACUUGUAGUUCGGUGAGUUUAAGUGAUAGAAUUAGAGAGUUGAUAAUCUUAAAGUUCCUUCUGCAUGGACAGUUUGCAUAAGGAAGAAAGAGAUGUGACUGACUUGUUCUCAGUCGUUUCUCGCAACCUUACAGCUGUGUAUAAAAGAAAACAGAUGACCGGGGACGAGCCAGGGGCCGUAGGAAAUGGUGACGCGCGCCAGCUUGCUCCGACCCAGUCUCUUUCAGAAGUCAUAGGAAGCAACGCGAGCUGAGAGAACCAGGGUGGUUGAAUUUAAUCAAGCCUUGGUUUUAGACUUCUGAGGAAAAAUUAUUUGAAAAGCAAACCAUGUUUUCUUUCGCUCCGACGAAGGGCUAACGCUCGAAACGUCAGCU
rnacentral:misc_RNA from 1 species